rnacentral:lncRNA from 1 species
AUACAACAGAAUCAAUUACUUGCAAUUUGAAAAAGGUGUCAAAGAUUGGAAAAAUUAAGCAGAAUUUGUGACCAUAAACGCUUUGUUUCGUCACAGCAUCGUCUUUACAAUGAAUUUCAGCAAGCUGAAGUUAAUAGAAAAUUAUUUAAGAUUGAGAAACCAGCCUCUACCUCAGAGCAAAGCCUGUUCAAGGAAGGGGGUGUGACCUUGUCCUUGGAAAGACCCACAGAGCACUCCUAGGCACAUCCCCACCCUGCUAAGUUGUUUAUCUACAAAUAACAGGAGAGAUCUGCUGCACCAGGUGUCCCUGACUCAGUCAG